GGAGGGGUAGCGAAGUGGUCAAACGCAGCAGACUGUAAAUCUGCCGGCUUUGCCUUCGUAGGUUCGAAUCCUACCCCCUCCACCA
rnacentral:tRNA from 1 species